AGUUGGCUGCGACCAGCGGUGACUUACAAGUUGGCUGCUGUCGCCUGCGCAUCGGCGGGCCGGGAGGCUGAGCAGUACUGUUGAGAGCGGUGUGAGGUGUUUGGUAGCGCGCCGUGGCUGCUUCCACGUCCUUGCUUCACCUCAGGUAAAGAAAGAUGUAACUGUUUGGAGAAAACCCUCAGAAGAAUUUAAUGGAUAUCUAAUUGCUGUGUGAUGCGUUACACUACUGCUGGUCAGCUUUGGAAUAUAAUUUCCCCAAGAGAAUUUGUUGAUUUCUCCUAUACUGUGGGCUAUAAAGAAGGGCUUUUAUCUUGUGGUAAUAAUCUCAACAUGUUAUGCUUUUUUUCAGUAUGGUUUAAAUAUUUGUGUUUUCUUGGCUGGAUGUUUCUUUCCUUGUGAGAUAUAUUUUCAACUCUGACUCUGUAAUCACUAACAUUUUUUGCAAAUGCUAAACUCUAGGGAGUAAAAUAGCAAUAUCAGAAGAGUUUUGAAACCCUUCUGAUAAGUUUUUGUUCCCAGUUACACAGUAUCCUCUAGGUCAGAGGUAGCAAAUGUGGAUCACAUGACUGCCUCUAAGAAAGGGUUCUAGUAAAUGGAUUUUCUUCUAAGCCACUCUCAGAAAACAGUUUCUUGGUCAUACACAUAGAAGUACUAGAUUUGGUGUGUCUUAGAAUAUUCUUCCUUCCUUGAGCUGUGUUGUAUUUUUCUU
rnacentral:sRNA from 1 species